AGCGAACGCUGGCGGUAGGCCUAACACAUGCAAGUCGAACGGCAGCACAGUAAUAUCUUGCUCUUAUGGGUUGCCAGUGGCGGACGGGUGAGGAAUACAUCGUAAUCUACUUUUUCGUGGGGGAUAACGUAGGUAAACUUACUCUAAUACCGCAUCCCCCCCUCGGUUGAAAGCAGGGGAUCUUCGCGCCUUGCGCGAUUGAAUUAGCCGCUUUCGGAUUAGUUAGUUGGCGGGGUAAAGGCCCACCAUGGCGACGAUCCGUAGCUGGUCUGAGAGGAUGAUAGGCCACACUGGAACUGAGACAGGGUCAAGAGUACUAAGGGAGGCAGCAGUGGGGAAUAUUGGACAAUGGGGGCAAGCCUGGUCCAGCGAGACCGCGUGGGUGAAGAAGGCGUUCGGGUUGUGAAGACCUUUUGUUGGGAAAGAAAAGCAGCAGGUUAAGACGCAGCGGUAGUGACGGUACCCAAAGAAGAAGCACCGGCUAACUUCGUG
rnacentral:rRNA from 1 species